rnacentral:lncRNA from 1 species
UUUCUCCUUUGCUCGGCCUUAUUUUUGGUGUCUUAUGGUCCUGCAAGAAGGAGAAGAGAGAGAGAAUAGUGGAUAGAAGAUCAAAAGCAUUUUACCAUAAGUUUUUGUUGGAAGAUCCAUGAGCCCUGCUUGAUCCCUUGUUAUUCAACUUGGGCUUGGUCUGUGCCUCAGAUCAAGCCCUUUUCUCCCUUCUUUUCUACAUUCUUUCUCCCUCCCCCUUUCUUUCUUUCUCUUCUUUUUCUUUUUAUUAUUAUUAUUAUUAUUUUUUGGAUCGGCCUCAAUGAAGUUGACCUCAUCGUUGGGAACGAGCGUGUGAAGGCAUCAGCAAAAGGGGGCUCGACUGAAAGGGCGUGCGUAGAGAAGGAUCAGCCAUGCGGGAGCACACGGGGAAGGAUCGACCACACGAGGUCAUGUGGGGAAGGAUCAGCGACGCUCGUCGGCAACUUCAGCCACACAUAGAAGUGUGCAGAGAGGUUCGGUCAUGUGAGAGGUGUGCAUGGGCAUGCAAGGAAGCUUUGGACCCAUGCAUUUGGCGAAGUU